GACGAACGCUGGCGGCGUGCUUAACACGUGCAAGUCGAACGGAAAGGCCCUGCUUUGGUGGGGUGCUCGAGUGGCGAACGGGUGAGUAACACGUGAGUAACCUGCCUGUUACUGUGGGAUAACUUCAGGAAACUGUGGCUAAUACCGGAUAGCAGCUCCUGCUGCAUGGUGGGGGUUGGAAAGUUGCGGCGGCUGGGGAUGGACUUGCGGCUGAUUAGCUUGUUGGUGGGGUAGUGGUUUACCAAGGCCUUGACGGGUAGCCGGCCUGAGAGGGUGACAGGCCACAUUGGGACUGAGGUAGGGCCCAGACUGCUACGGGAGGCAGCGGUGGGGAAUAGUGCACAAUGGGCGGAAGCCUGAUGCAGCGACGCCGCGUGCGGGAUGACGGCCUUAGGGUUGUAAACCGCUUGCGCCUGUGACGAAGCGUGAGUGACGGUAAUGGGUAAAGAAGCACCGGCUAACUACGUG
rnacentral:rRNA from 1 species